UGGGAACACAGAGUUUUGCAAGGGUUAAUGUUGAAAAAUUAUCCAUGCAUAUCUUUUGAAAAUUAAAAAGUUUUAAUUAAAAAAGGAAAUAAAUUAAUAUUCUAUCCAUAAGAAUAUAAUUUUUUUAGUCACAUAUUUUGUAAGACAUUUUGGAGUUUAAUGGCUGGAUUAAUUUUUUUUAUUUUUUUGAAAAGUUGGGGCAAGUUACUUUUUUGUCCUGUGCAAUUUUCAUUCAUGAUUUCUUAAAAUAUAGCUCUGAAAAAACAGGUUUUUCCCAUCAUUAUUCAAAUGGACAUACUUUGUUGUGUCUUUAAACCCAAAUCAUCCUGGCUUUUUUAAAAAUGGCCAAUAACAGCCUCCAUCCCAAACCUCUGUUGCUCAAUCUUUAGAUUUUGAUGGCUUAGGAGUAUAAAUGGCAAUUGUUUUCUGUUCUGACCAGAAAUUCUAAAGGUCUUUCCUUUUCAAAUUGAUACUUUUGUGAUGAUAAACUAGGUUGUCUUUUGUCACUUUUCUUAUUUAGCCCUUGGUUGUUGUCCUACCAAAAUAAUAUGAUUAUAUUAGACUCAAGUUACUAUCUGACUGUGGCUGAUAACAACAGUACAAAUUCAAAAUGCUCUACCACAGAUUGGGCACAAAUAAGUCAUGUGAACAUUUGUGUUGGAUUCUAAAUCUGUACAUCUCAUUUCUUUUUGAACUACUUUAGUUCUGCUUUGCUCAUAGAGCUGCAGCUACUGUAGCUCAGAACUCCCUGGCUCAAAACAUUGUGAGCAUUAAUCUUCCAAAAGCUGGUAUCAUAGGAAUGUCUGAUUAUGCCAGUUAUUCUCUAGUAUCUGACCAAAUUAUCCACCUACACAGCAAUGGCAAUCUUUUGGACUUCUGACAAAUAAAUCAUAUGGCUUUGAAAAUGUGGAAAGAGCCAAACUAUAAUAUUGAUUCUUUACUUGCAUACUUCAUCGAGUAUAGCACCAAUGUCUUCUAUAUCAUGAAAUCAACUCCAAAGUUCUUCAGAGAGACUUUAUUGCAAUAAUCAGACAAAAACUAAUCCAGUCAAUUGCACCAAUAAAAUUAGCUGAGAGGUGGUCAUGCAGCAGAAAGCAGGAAUGUUUAUACAAACUGUCUUGUGGCUGUAAAACAAUAAUACAUGUUACACAAACACUUGAUCAUGAUCAUUCCUGGGCUUUCUUCUUCUACAUAUAGCUUGACUAGAUUCCAAUUAAUUAUGCUCCAUCACAAAGUCAACUACAGAGUAGGGAUUAGAAAAAAAAAGUCACUGGAACAAAUAAAGAUUUGGACAGCAAAGUUCAGGAAAGUCAAAUAUGAAAAUGUUCAAUCUAGAGAAGAGAAGAUUGAGAAAAGACUUAGAAAUGAUCUUUAAUAUCCAAAAUAUUUUGUGAAGUUUAACUAACUUUAUUCUCUUUUCCCUGAGACAGAACAAGAUAAAAUAACCUUAAGGUGUGAUUCAGUUUAGGCAAGAUACAAAGAAGAGUCAAAUGUAACUUAGUGGAUAGAGAACUGGCCUCAAAUACAGGAAAGACCUGAAUUCAAGUCCUGACUGACAUAGACUACUGUAUGAGUUUAGCAGCUGCCUGCGUAUCCCACUGUAAGUCAUGAUGAAGUAAAUUGGAGCUCUAAAAACAGAUGUACUGAAGUGCUUCAAGAAGAUUCAAGCAAAUGAGACUCAGAAUUCACAUCUAUCUGUGAGAUUUUUCUGUACCUGAGGAUACAAUUCAUCUGGGCCAAGUAAUGAAAAUAAUUGUCAACAGCAGCACAACUCCAGUCAUCGGGAUCUCCAAAUACUCAAGGGCCACUAUAAAAGGCCAUAGAAUGGGAAUAGAAGACAAGAGGUGGCCAGUGUGAUUCUAAUUGCUGAUUGUGCAAAGAUGCCCUUGAUAAACCUGAUUACUUCAGCCUGUACUUGUUAAGGGACAGGGCCAAGGGAAGAGGUAAUGAGGAUAAGUAUUGAUGAAGUGCCUACUCUAUGCCAGGCAGUGAACUAAUUAUCUCCUUUAAACCUUAUAGCAACCCUGUGAGGUGUUAGAGUAAAUAUAAGGUUCUCUGCUUUGGGCUGAUGGUAAUUUGGAAGUGAAAACAUAGAGCAUAUAAAGCUGCAACAAACUCAGCCAGAGUCAGAGCCAGAGCUGGACUCAGAAGGGCUUGGAGAGAGACUCAGAAGGGCCAGACACAGACUCAGAAGGGACCCAGAGGCCGAUUCAUUCCAUCAUCCACCUUUGUUGUGGCUGGAGGCUGAAGCAUAAGCCCAGGGACUUAGAGACAGAUUCAUUCAUUUCAUCUCACAACACCGUGGACUAGCCUCCUGUACUUCUCCCACUGAGACCAAGGCCAAUCUGAAGGGCUCUCUAGAAAUCUGGCUCGGGGCUCAGGCAAGAAAACUAGAUUGUGAAAGAGAUAAUAAAGGAUUUGGACUUUAACAUCUGGCUAUUCUCCUGGUGAUUACCUCCAGAAAACAGAGCAAGAACAUCAUAUGUAUGUAUGUAUGUAUGUGUGUGUGUGUGCGUGUGUGUAUGUCAAAUCAAACUGAGAUUUGAAGAUAAAUAUUUGGUUAGAAAGAAGGGUGGGAGUUGAUUGAAUUAAGAAAUCAUUCUUCAUCCAAUAAAAUAACUUCCAAAUUUCUCUAUCCUUGAUAGCUUUUAUCAGUUCAUAAUAGCUUAAAUGAAUGAAUGAAUGAUUGAAUGAAGGGCAUUUCAAUCAAAUACUCCAAAGUUCAUAAUCAAUUUGGAAGAGGUGCAUUGCAUGAAAUAAAAAGAUGUUGCACAGGUGGUAUAUUCAGAUUGGCUGAAGAGAAUCAGUCAUGUCCUGUGAGUCAUGGAUAUAAAGUAGCAAGUCAGUUUUGACCUGAGCAAUUACAUAUCUGAUUACACUGGAGGAGAGAGCAGCUCCAGCUAAAUCCCCAAGUGGAAAUCAUUUGGAGAAAGUGCAAGGAGACAAUCAGGAUAAGCACUCUCCAAUUUGAUAAAAAAGAGAAGUAUUCUAUAAAGUUUGACUGGUUGAACAAUUUAAAUUUCUCAUUUGAAUCUUAGGCAAAAUGAUUGUGACAUCUUCACUGAAAAAAGGAAAAGCUAGGCACACUAUAAAAAGGUAUUUUUUAGAACUUUACAAGAAGCCCAAAAGAAAACUAUACCAUAAUCAAGAGGGAUUUUAUGAGAACUCCACAAAGAAGCAAAGGGAACUUGCAGCAAAAUGACUUUGAGGCUCUUUGGAAUAUAACUUUGACAAUCUUUAAGAUUGAUCUCACUUUUCCCUUGGCUUUUAUAUUCCCUUGUGGAGAGUGAGCCCUGAUUUUUUUGGGGGGAGGGAUCUUUUGUACCAAAUAUUCUUACUAUAAUAACUUAUUAAGUCCCUAUUUCUUAAAACUAAAUAAGUUCAGAUAAUCAAUAUGCUGAUAACCAAAAGGGAAAACACAACACUGGGGACUCCUGAACUAUGAUAGGAGAAAAACUACUUUAUUACCCCUAAAACUCUGAAGAAAGAAAUACCCAGCUACCCUCUGGGAAUUCCACCCACUUAUGCUAUUAGGAAUCAGGACAAAGCUUCAAUGUGUGUGUGUGUGUGUGUGUGUGUGUGUGUGUGUGUGUGUGUGUGUGUGUGUGUGUGUGAGAGAGAGAGAGAGAGAGAGAGAGAGAGAGAGAGAGAGAGAGAGAGAGAGAUUGCUAAUAUUAUUGAUUUUUUCUUUAUAUAAUGGGAAAACUUUGGAAGUUGCUGAGCAAGAAAGUGAGUGGACAGGGUAGCUAGGUGACGCAGUCAAUAGUAUACCAUUCCUAAAAUCAGGAAGACCUGAGCUCAAAUCUGACCUCAGACACUUCACACUUCCUAGUUGUGUGACCCUGGGCAAGUCACUUAACCCCAAUUGUCUCAUCAAAAAAAAAAAGAAAAAGAAAAAGAAAAAAAAGAGAGUGGAUCUAGCUAGUUUUGUUUGUUUGUUUUUACUCCAUAUACACAUGGUCAUAAUGUGUUUCUAUAUGUGCACACAUAUAUAUAUCACAUGUGCACAUAUCUAUGUAUAUUUAUGUGCAUAUGUGUGUUAUAUAUGUGUACUGUGUACCUUGUAUAGUACAUGGAAAGCAGGCCUUGUAAUUAGAAAGAAUUGGUUUCAAGUCCUACUUCAUGUUAUAGCUGAAUCACCUAAACUCUUAGGGCCCCAAAGAACUGCUCCCAUCAUUGGUGAAGCAAUCUCCAUGUAAUGAAUUUCCUCGUCACAAAUUUCCCACCUUGACAAAAUCAAAAUCCAAAUGUAAUAAAGAGUACAUACACAGAUAAAUGUGUAAUUUGACUUUAUCUUUUGUAUAUGUACAAUACAGCAUGCAAGCAUUGAGAAACACUUGAAGAAUGUUACUUUAAAUGCUUCUAUAGUGAGGGAAAUUAUGGGGGCAUUAUUACAUUACUAUUUAAUGAGAUAAGAAGCUGAUAAUUUAAUAGACCACAAAAAGUAUGUUAUAGCUUUAAGAAAACUAGAAGGUUGCCUUUCUUAAUGUAUCCUGAGUCAAUAUUUAGAUUUAAAUAUAUAUUCUAUUUAGCAUGACUGACAGUCUUAUUUCUAAAAGAAAAAUGCUGCUUAAAACAGAAGGAGAUAGAAUGGAAAAGGGAAUGAAACAAACAAGCAAACAAACAAACAAAAAAAACAGGUAACUGUUGGUGAGUUACCACCUGCUGUGGGAAUAUGAGCUAUCUGGCCAGGUUUACACAGGUGCAGAUACAUGGAUAAUUCCUUUUUAAAAAAUCUUCCUCUACCUUAAUUUUAUUUCUAUUAUUGAAUAUAAAGCCCAGGUUUAUUCCUGAAUUAUAUAGCAAGCCCAUUCAUUAGACAUUUGCCAAUCCUAUACUUUGCACUAUGUGAACUUGGCUUCAGACAAAGAGGUGAUAUCUCAAAAUUCUGCCAUGCUGAUAACUCUAACAUGUUAUCUCUAGCAUGUAUCUACUGCAAAGUAACUUUAAAGAGGAGCUGAAAACUUGUUCUUGCUUACUCCCUCACUUCUCCUACUCUGUCAUCUACAUAAUUUUUUUGUCUCCACUGCUUUUCUCUAGCCCCAAAUCUUAAAAAUUUGGAGUCUCAGGGAGAAGGAGCUGCAUUAUCUCAAAUGCUAUAAUUUAAUGGCAUAUGAUAUAAUUUUACACAGCCCAAGACCUAUCACACUUAUUGGUAAUGUAAUGAAAAGAUGUUUUCCCUCCUUUGGGACAG
rnacentral:lncRNA from 1 species